rnacentral:lncRNA from 10 species
GGUUCAGAGACUACAGUUUCCUGAUUAAAUCUCAUAGAAAGGAAGCCUCCUUAAAGAGACUAAGGACACUGACAGAGGAAAUUUACCCCAAACCUUCAAACUCUGAAAGUUCAAAUUGUGGAAGCUCUGGUCCACAUAUGGGAAUGCUCCUCUGACUCACAUCCCCUAACCACCAUAAGGACUCCAAGCCAAUCUUCUUUCUCAGCCACUUUUGGACCUACUUGAGAUUUUUCCCUGAUGUCCCCAGAAAGCCUCAUUAUCAGGAAGAAACUCUCCUCAUAGCCAUCACAACUGGGUAUAUACUGGGUCAUACCUGAAGCCAGCACAUCUCUGAAUUUCAUCCAAGGCCCAUGGUUGGUGAGAGCUGCCUUUAGGUUACAUGGGAGCAGCAAGGAGGAUACUUGUAUGGAUGGGAUCUACCACAAUUUGAGCAGCCUCUAGUUUUGGUGAGAUCUGCCGCACUAUCUGUAAAAUGGACAAAAAAGAGAAAAGGACAAUUGAACACAGAGGUGCACAAGAAAGAAGCAAUAUGAGCUCAUACCUAGUUUUCUUUUGCUGUUGGUCAGAGAUGAUUUCUUUAUUGUAUUUAAAUAUACAUUACAUAAACUUUGUCAAUUUAACCAUAUUUAAUUGUACAGUUUUUGGCAUUAAUUACUUUCACAACAUUUUGCAACCAUAACUACUAUCUGUUUCCAAAACAUUUAUUCCACCCAAAACAGAAACUCAUAACCAUUAAGUAAUAACUCCUCACUACCAUCAUCUACCCGCAGCCCCUGGUGACCUCUAAUCUACUGUCUGUCUCUAUGAAUUUGCCUAUUUUAGAUAUCUCACCUUCAUUUCCUAAAAAAGAUAUUGGUCAUUGGUUAAGAGUGCUGAGUUAUCAUCUUGAGAGGACUGGCCACUGAUGGUAUACUGAGACAACAUAUAAACUAGAGAACAGUAAACAGCUUACAAUGGCCAGAAUAGUCAUAAAAAUGAGCUAAGUGACUCAAGUAUCAUCCAGUAGAUAUUUCUUGGAACUGAAAUAUUAGAAAGACAAUGUUCUAUCUAAAGGUUACAAUGACUUUUCAACUCCUGCCAACUGUUGUCAUUAAUUAAUUAGAAACUCAGUGCUGCCAGAAUUUUCUUUUUUAGGAAAACUAGAACAUUCGGACUGUUAGGCAAAAAAUCCAAAAUUUGAAAGUCUGUAGGUCAAAUCUGGCCCUCAUGUCAUCAGCUUAUGGACUUUAUUAUUAAAAAGUCUUAUUUCUUUGCAAAAAAUGCUAUUAUAUUUUAAAUGGCAUGCGUUUGUAAUGGAACAAAGAUAUAAGCUUUGUGACAUUUUUGAGCAACUUUGAGAGGUCCAGGUAUAUAUGCACAAAAUGAGUAUUUCCCAAAGAUGAGGAAUGGCAAAGCAGAACUAGCAGAAGGUCAGGAAUCCAAGGAAUUCUAGAAUGAACCCUGGUAUCACCAUGUGAAGAAGUCUGAGACAGUCUUCUGGAUGAUAAUUGCCAUGUGGCUCCAACUGCCCUAGGCAACAGGCAACAAACUACCAGACACGUGUCCAGACCACUCCCCCAAGCCAGUGGGGAUUCCACUUCCUCUUCACCAGCAUUCCCUGGAAUGGACCCUUGCCUAGGCUACAGAGGCACUUGUUUCCCAGCCAAUGGUGAGUGCAUGGGCCGCUGGCCCUUACCAAUGGC